GGUCCCAUGGUCUAGUGGUUAGGACAUUGGACUCUGAAUCCAGUAACCCGAGUUCAAAUCUCGGCAGGUGGGACCU
rnacentral:tRNA from 1 species